GAUGAACGCUGGCGGCGUGCCUAACACAUGCAAGUCGAGCGGCAGCGAGGGGUGCUUGCACCCUGUCGGCGAGCGGCGGACGGCUGAGUAACGCGUGGGAACGUGCCCCAAAGUGAGGAAUAACUGCCCGAAAGGGUAGCUAAUACCGCAUAUUAUCUUCGGAUCAAAGGAUUUAUCCGCUUUGGGAGCGGUUCGCGUCGGAUUAGGUAGUUGGUGAGGUAAUGGCUCACCAAGCCGACGAUCCGUAGCUGGUCUGAGAGGAUGACCAGCCAGACUGGAACUGAGACACGGUCCAGACUCCUACGGGAGGCAGCAGUGAGGAAUCUUCCACAAUGGGCGAAAGCCUGAUGGAGCAACGCCGCGUGAAGGACGAAGGCCUUCGGGUUGUAAACUGCUUUUACAAGUGAGGAAUAUGCCGGUAACUUAUGAAUAAGGAUCGGCUAACUACGU
rnacentral:rRNA from 1 species